CUUAAUCGUAGACGUCGUCGAACCUUCCAGAAGCGGCCUAGGGCACUCCAGCGGGCCAUAAAACCCCCAGAGCAGGCAUUGCGAAACGCAUCGGAGGUUAGUGUUUAGCGCCGCAAUCGUGGUUCUUCUCCGUCCGUCCACGAACAUGCUUUCCAGUUGCACGUAUCUAUUUGGUGUGUCUUGUCUGGUACCAGCGACUAAUACUUUGAGCCGGGGGAUUUGGUAGUUUGCUUACUGCCAUGGCAUCUAAUACUUGUCCAGCCUUUAGCCUUAUUUUUUACACUGCUUUUUGUCGCAAUGGACCAUGUCUCUUGUGUUUAUUUGUCUCAUAAGAUUUCUUUCUUGAAAGAAUUGUAAAGUUUAAUUUCAACAAGAUUUUUCACUUUGUUUUGGGCUUACUUUGAUGAAUUCAAUGCAACUGAAUGCGGAAUAAUGUAUAAACGUAAUGCUCUUUUAUAAUGCGUUUCAUUUUAAAUAGGUAGUUGGGUUGUACUGUAAUUUUUAAUUUGUGUCUUGAUAAUUUUUUUUUUCACAUUCCAACUCAAGAAACAUCAUUCAUUAUUGUUACUUCGACUUUAUUUUUGAUAUUUUUGGUUGCUGAGUUGUUAUUUUUGGGAGUUUGGUUUGUGUUUUAGAUGCAUGCUUAAGUCAUUAAGUAUUUGAAAUUGAUUAAGAUAGAUACAAGCCCAUUUUUGUUGUACCAAUAACUAAGUGUCUUGUUUUCAAUUAUCAUUUAUUUGCUUCAAUAUUUCCUAUCCUUAAUUUAAUAAGAUUCUCAAUCUGUGAUGAUACUAUGCAAUAAAUGAAUGAUAGUGUGAAUUGAUGUAACGAUUCUUUUACAAUCCAUAUCUUGUUCAAAAUGUUUCUUAAUUUUCAGUUUUUAUUUAUUUUAACAUUUCCUAUUAUUGCCUUAUUAAAAGGAGAUUCUCAAUCUGUUUUAUGUUUUCUUUGAUCAUUCCAUGCAAUCAAAUGCAGGAUAGUGUGUAUCGACUGAAUGCUUAUUUACAAUGCAUUUUCUGUCGAAAGUGUUUCCUGCAAGAGCAAUCUGGGGCAAAUGGGCAGUUGGGACAAAACCUAAUUUUUGAUCGGGUGUCUCGACAAUCAUUUUCCUCAUAUGCCUUACUACCAACAUCAUUGGUUUUUGUUUGUUCUUUUUGUCUUAUGUUUCUUCACUUUUAAGUGACUCAAGACAGAUUACCAUUUGGUUCAAUUUCAAUAAAAAUUUUCAUCUGUUUUUGCUGAUUUGAGGCAAUCAUAGGCAGGUUUAUGAUGCUUUCUUACGAGUCUUCCCUUCUAGUGGUUUUUUUGGGGAAAAAUGGGCAAUUGGGAGGAAACAUUGUUUCAGGAUAAUUGUUUCACGAAAAUUUUUUUGGAGCACAAUUGAUUAUUGCCUGUAGUUUUGGUCUUUGAUAUUUCUUUUCAGCAAGUUAGUUUCCAAUGCAUCUUUUUGGCAAACUGUUGUAUUCUUAGUAUGAUCUUGAGUGGCAACCCCAGUUAGAUACACCUCCUUUUCACUCGUUGCUUUCUCAUCACUUGCAUGUCUCGAUUUUAUUGUUUCUCCGGGUUGGCAUUAGCUUAAUGAUUUGUGCAACAGAAGGCUGGAAAGUGUGCCGUGAUGUUCAUCUACAAUGCAUUUGUAGCCGAAAGUGCUUCUGCAAUAGUAAUUUCUGGGACAAAUGGACAGUUGGAACUAAUUCUAAUUCUAUGCAGUUUGCACAAUCAUUUUCCUUACCUCAACAUUAUUGAUUCUUGUUUUUUCUUACAUUUGGGCUUGCUAAGGUAUAUGUCUGAGACCAUGGAUUGAAUGGUUAAGUAGAACAUACCUUGCCGACCUACAUGUGAUACUCCAUUUUCCUCUUGCAUACCCUCAAGUGGAUAUGAGAUUUUGAUGUUUAGACUAUUCAACCAGCACUAACCAUAUUUGUAAAAUUCUAUAUGCGAGUUCAAUUGCAACCAUGGACUUCAUCUCUUUAAUGCAAA